AACGAACGCUGGCGGCAUGCCUAACACAUGCAAGUCGAACGAGACCUUCGGGUCUAGUGGCGCACGGGUGCGUAACGCGUGGGAAUCUGCCCUUGGGUUCGGAAUAACAGUUAGAAAUGACUGCUAAUACCGGAUGAUGUCUUCGGACCAAAGAUUUAUCGCCCAAGGAUGAGCCCGCGUAGGAUUAGCUAGUUGGUGAGGUAAAGGCUCACCAAGGCGACGAUCCUUAGCUGGUCUGAGAGGAUGAUCAGCCACACUGGGACUGAGACACGGCCCAGACUCCUACGGGAGUCAGCAGUGGGGAAUAUUGGACAAUGGGCGCAAGCCUGAUCCAGCCAUGCCGCGUGAGUGAUGAAGGCCUUCGGGUUGUAAAGCUCUUUCGCACACGACGAUGAUGACGGUAGUGUGAGAAGAAGCCCCGGCUAACUCCGUGCCAGCCGCCGCGGUAAGAC
rnacentral:rRNA from 1 species